UGUUAUAGUAAACAUUGUAAUUAUCGAAGCUUUAAAAAAAAAAUUAUUAAUAAAAUAGUCUAGAAAUCUGUUUCGCAAAAAACUAGAAAUAGAAAACCUGUAAUUCAACCCCGUUGAAUAAAUUAGUUUGCAAAGUAUGUUGGAGAAGGUAUGUAAAUCGCAAUAAAUAUCUUCUCAAGGAAAACUUGCACAUUGACAUGGAAGAAAUUCGAAAAUGGCGAAAUCUGUAGGUAACAAAGGAACCUGCAUGUUCAACCGAUAUAUAUCUCGAGAAAAAUUACUAAGCAAACUCGAAAUAAUAUUUUUCCCAAGAAUAGAAACGAAAAAAACUGCACGUUCCAUCGAGAUGUCCGCCGCGCCCUGUACAAAUAAAUUGCUGGAACUCGACGUCUCUUCUUCUCUCUCAUUCUUAUUUCAUCGGCCUCGCUCUCGAGAAAGAGAUCGAAUUGAAUGGCCAUUGCUGGCAGUCGCACCUUGCGGCAACGAGGAGGGACGUGUACGUACGGUCGAUUAAGUCGAUUGGAUAAAGACCGAGAGAGAGCAAAACUGGUGAUCUCGUUCCACGCGGUGGCCCCGAUGUAUCUAUAACCGUGUUCCACGGUCAUAGGCGCGAGUAUUGCUACAAAUGAGAGUUUGAGGCGUCACUGACUCGCUGUGCAACUCUCUUGUCUCGCUCUCUCGGCUUUGCAUUCCUUUCUAAGCCUGUUCUCUCCGUUUGUUGUCGCUUAUUGAAUCUGAUUCGAGAAUUGUCUCAAUUAUAUUCAUUUUUCUUUCCUUCUAACAUCGAUAACGUUAAUCUUUAACGAUCGAAAAAAACUUUUUUUAGGUUAGGUUGAUCGACUAUUUUGAUAUCGGUGCAAAGUUUUCGAUAAAUUCUUAUAUUUAUGGUUAUGGUUAUCAUGACUAGAGUUAGAAAAUUUCGUCAAAGUUGAAUGUAAUUAUUUAUUCAAAAAAGUGAAUACGUAGCGCGAGAAGGAGAUCUCGUAGCGGACAAACGACGUGGAAAGUCCAACGAGACAGCAGUUGGCACACAGUCCGGCUCUCGAUUCAUGCGACGUCACGUGUCGCAUCCGAAGAUACACGCUUUCUUUGUGUGGCAUUAACGUAUUCUGACUUGGACACUGCAUCGGAAACACCAUUCUAAAUCGGUUUCAAAAGUUUGAACCGUGUAUCCCCAUGAGAAAGUCCACUAUCUUACAUGAUUGCAUAAUCAACAUAAAAAAAAAAAUUUACACUAAAAAAACAAGCGGAAUAAGAAUAAUUAACAAGUUAGAAAUACAGCCAGGAAAUCGUAAAAAGAUAGAGAAAGCGGGGCGCCAUUAAAUUACAGGUAAACGAAUCAUAUUUCAUUCUCCAAUUUCUUCUGAAAUUUGCUGUAUCUAUUAAAAAAAAAAAAAAAAAAA